UACGGUAGGGGGCAAGCGUUGUCCGGAUUCAUUGGGCGUAAAGAGCGUGUAGGCGGCCAGGUAGGUCGGUUUGUGAAAACCUGGAGGCUCAACCUUCAGAGGUCGACCGAAACCAUCUGGCUAGAGUCCGGGAGAGGAGAGUGGAAUUCCUGGUGUAGCGGUGAAAUGCGCAGAUAUCAGGAAGAACACCCGUGGCGAAAGCGGCUCUCUGGGAACGGUACUGACGCUGAGACGCGAAAGCGUGGGGAGCGAACAGG
rnacentral:rRNA from 1 species